GCAUGCUAGCGCAAACGCUUUCACAGAGGUGAAUGGCGGUCCCACUCGGUGUGCAUCUACUGGCAUUAGAGAUCACUGAAUUCGCUAUGACUCCCUGGCGGCCUCCCCAUUUCCGCAUUCGGUAUGGGUAGAUAUUGACGGCGCAGACUUGCAGUGUAGCGCAUGGCGUGAUCGUACCCACGAAACACCUGAGUGAUUGCAUGUGUUGCGAGGUUCCCUAGUGCUGCUUCCAGACUACUUUUAUUCCAAAUUAAUAAAUG